UUCAUAAUAACUUAACGAAUCGCAUGGCCUUGCGCCGGCGAUGGUUCAUUCAAAUUUCUGCCCUAUCAACUUUCGAUGGUAGGAUAGUGGCCUACCAUGGUCUCAACGGGUAACGGGGAAUUAGGGUUCUAUUCCGGAGAGGGAGCCUGAGAAACGGCUACCACAUCCAAGGAAGGCAGCAGGCGCGCAAAUUACCCAAUCCCAAUUCGGGGAGGUAGUGACAAUAAAUACUGAUACAGGGCUCUUUUGGGUCUUGUAAUUGGAAUGAGUACAAUCUAAAUCCCUUAACGAGGAACAAUUGGAGGGCAAGUCUGGUGCCAGCAGCCGCGGUAAUUCCAGCUCCAAUAGCGUAUAUUAAAGUUGUUGCCGUUAAAAAGCUCGUAGUUGAACCUUGGGUCUGGCCGCUCUGUCCUCCUAAUCGAGCGCACGGAGUCGGUCGGACCUUUCCUUCUGGGGAGCCCGAUGCCCUUCACUGGGCGUCGUGGGGAACCAGGACUUUUACCUUGAAAAAAUUAGAGUGUUCAAAGCAGGCCUUUGCUCGAAUACAUUAGCAUGGAAUAAUAGAAUAGGACAGAGGUUCUAUUUUGUUGGUUUCUAGGACCGCUGUAAUGAUUAAUAGGGAUAGUCGGGGGCGUCCGUAUUCAAUUGUCAGAGGUGAAAUUCUUGGAUUUAUUGAAGACGAACUACUGCGAAAGCAUUCGCCAAGGAUGUUUUCAUUAAUCAGUGAACGAAAGUUAGGGGAUCGAAGACGAUCAGAUACCGUCGUAGUCUUAACCAUAAACUAUGCCGACUAGGGAUCGGACGGUGGUUUUUUUAUGCCCCGUUCGGCACCUUACGA
rnacentral:rRNA from 1 species